rnacentral:rRNA from 1 species
AAAAAGAGUUAAACACAGGGACACAUUUGAAGUCUCGGAGCCGGGUGUUGGUUCCGGUAGCGAUCGAGGGAAAUUAGUACCGAAGUCCGGGAUGGAAGAUGGCGAGAAAAGCUGUGUGUAUUUCUGCGGUGCCCGUACCGCAAACCGACACAGGUAGGUAGGAAGAAGAUUCUAAGGCCAACGGGAGAAGGGUUGUUAAGGAACUCGGCAAAUUGACCCCGCAACUUCGGGAGAAGGGGUGCUCUAGAGAUAGAGCCGCAGAGAAUCGGCCCAAGCAACUGUUUACCAAAAACACAGGUUUGUGCUAAAUCGAAAGAUGACGUAUACGAGCUGACGCCUGCCCGGUGCUGGAAGGUUAAGAGGAGAUGUGCAAGCAUUGAAUCGAAGCCCCAGUGAACGGCGGCCGUAACUAUAACGGUCCUAAGGUAGCGAAAUUCCUUGUCAGGUAAGUUCUGACCCGCAUGAAAGGCGUAAUGAUUUGGGCACUGUCUCGACAGCCCGCCCGGCGAAAUUGUAGUACCGGUGAAGAUGCCGGUUACCCGCGACAAGACGGAAAGACCCCAUGGAGCUUUACUGUAGCCUAAUAUUGGGUUUCGAUGUUGCAUGCACAGGAUAGAUGGGACACUGGGAAGCAAGAGCUUUGGCUUUUGUGGAGUGGCCGUUGGGAUACCAUCCUUGCGAUAUUGGAAUUCUAACCUGCGCCUUUGAAUCAAGGCGGGGGACAUUGUUAGGUGGGCAGUUUGACUGGGGCGGUCGCCUCCUAAAGAGUAACGGAGGCGUUCAAAGGUUCGCUCAGCUUGAACGGAAAUCAAGCAAAAGAGUGCAAACGCAGAAGCGAGCCUAACUGCGAGACUGACGGGUCGAGCAGUAACGAAAGUUGGAGUUAGUGAUCCGGUGGUAUGUGAGUGGAAAUGCCAUCGCUCAACGGAUAAAAGUUACCCUGGGGAUAACAGGCUGAUCUCCCCCAAGAGUCCACAUCGACGGGGAGGUUUGGCCCCGAUGUCGGCUCAUCGCAUCCUGGGGCUGUAUUCGGUCCCAAGGGUUUGGCUGUUCGCCAAUUAAAGCGGUACGCGAGCUGGGUUCAGAACGUCGUGAGACAGUUCGGUCCCUAUCUGUCGUGGGCGCAGGAUAUUUGAUGGGAGCUGUUCCUAGUACGAGAGGACCGGAGCGGACGUACCUCUGGCGCACCAGUUGUUCUGCCAAGGGCAUAGCUGGGCAACUAUGUACGGAUCGGAUAAACGCUGAAAGCAUCUAAGCGUGAAGCCGACCCAAAGAUAAGAUAUCCCAUUGUUUCAAACAAGUAAGACCCCUUGAAGACUACAAGGUUGAUAGGCAUGAUGUGUAAGUGGAGUGAUCCAUUCAGCAAGCAUGUACUAAUAGGUCGAGGGCUUGAUC